AGUGGAAAGCAUUUCACACUUGAUUUACUGAGAGUUCUUUCUUUCUCUCUCUCUCUCUCUCUUUUUUUUUUUUUCCCCUCUGAGUUUCCCUGACUUUUUCUUAUGGCUGAAUUUCCACAGGACUACGUGGGAAUCUGAGCUACACAGGAGGCUGACAACCAGAAGAAUUGAGCGAUCAUGCCCUCAGACUUUUUCUUUGAUGGUGCAGGUGAAGGAGAACAGAAACAUGAAAAUACUUCAGCUCUUCAGGCUCUCUUACUCUUUCUCUGCAGAAACCAUUUUGUGCAGUGCUCCAGGAGCCAGCUGCUUCACUUCAAUCAAGCACAGCACAGUUUCAGGGUAACUAAAAGAAAAUGAAGGAAAGGAAAUGCCUCUCCUCCGAAGUAGCUUACAUAAAGGCAUUGGAAAGAAGGCCUAAUUCUUCUACUGGGUAAAAUAUUUUUCAUUUAGACCUGAAAAUGGAUGCAAUUUUCUGCAGAUAAAACUGUUUAGUGAGAUGUGCAGAAUACUGGCAUAUCCAUCUGGCGAAGUUUCACAUGGCAGUGCCCCUGUUUUUCAGUGCUGUUCAUGUCAUUUUUUCAUGGGGCAGAAGCAGAGCUUGCAGCACUCAUAGCCAAGCAGUGCUAAGUGGCGCCAAGCAGUGCUAAGUGGCAUCAAGCAGACUCAUGUCCAACUUUCUGGAAAAGUGCAUGGGAAUUACAAAUGGAGCUCUGAGGAUCAAGCAGGGAGAUGAACAGGGAAUUUGUUAGGGGAUAAAGGAUAAUCUAUGCUAUCAAAGAGAGAGCAGAAAUGAGCCUGAGUCCAGCCAAGAAAAAGAGCAGAAGAGGUGCUCCCAUCACAGCAGAUCAGCUCUGAAGGCCACAUGGUGCCUUGGGUACAUGGAUAAGCUUGGUUUGAAGAGAACAAGAGCAGCUGAGUGUGCAACUUAAAUGAUGUUGGUGCUGUCUCUCCAUGAGUAGGGCCAACAGUGGGCAGCUUCAGGAGGGCAUGUAGGUUUGGAGCAGGUGAAAGUAGCAGUUCUAUAGAAAGCUGCAGUGUUUCAUAGAGUCAUAGAGUCAUAGACCAGUUUCAUAGAGUCAUAGAAUAGAAUCACAGAAUUGUUUGAUUUGGAAGGGACCUUUAAAGAUCAUCUAAUCCAACUCUCCUGCAAUGAACAGAGACACCUACUGCUACAUCAGACGUUCAGAAUCUCUUCCAGCCUCACCUUGAAAGUCUUCAAGGACAGAUUGUGUUGCUUUGGACUGCUUUGAUUGCUUCAUGAGUCAAGGAAACCAAGCAUACUCAAAAAAAGUUGACUGUAUGUGAGCCAACAAGUACUGCAGGACUUUUCUCUCAUAAAUCUGUGUGUAGUUAAGAAGAUACUUGAAUGUAGUAAAAUUAGAGAAUCUGAGUUUUGACAGCAAUGCUAGGAAUUCCUUGGAUAGAGAUGGGGGAGAAAGAAAGAGGUGCAGGUGCUGUUACUUCAAUAUUUUGUUAGCUGCUUGGUGUUACUCUUAGUUCUUAUGCCAGGUGUUGGUGCCAGGUGUUUUGAACAGCAACAACUGUUAGGUACAGCUGUAUCCACCAUGCAAAGUCAAGAAAUUAGACAGUGCUCUGCUUUUUCAAAAAGGACAGCAGAUGUUAAUAUCUUGUAACUUUUGACUGUGAAGGGAAGAACAAACAAAACCUUUUCUACUGACAAUGUUUAAACAAGUUCUAAGGCAGGCUGCUUUAUCCUUUCCUACAGUCAAGAUAAAAUAAACCAAACCAGACUGACCAAAGAAGGGAAGAAUGGAGAAGUUUUUUUUCUACCUAGCUUCCUCCCUCCCCUUAUCCACCCCCUAUUCUCUGCAACAAAAAGUUGAUUGAAUCAUGAAAGUUGGGAAAUUCAGCAUUAUAGAUUACAAGAAAUGCAGCUCGUCUUCUUUCUUUAUUGAGAGACAGAGCUGCCUUCUAGCCACUGUUUCAGCCAGCCCUUUUCAGAGCCCUGUUAACAACAAUCUGGCUGAGCAUGGCAGUUUGACAGGACUGGGAUGAUUCUUAUUGUUUUGCUAUUGCCUUUCAGUCAAGCUGCUGCCAUUCUGCUGUUUGGCUACCUUGACUGACAGUGUGCAAGUGCCAUGUUUCUGACUUGGGGACCUUUCUGUGGUCAAGUUGCGUGCAGCUUUGCAGAUGAGAAUUCAAAUGAGUAGAAGUCACAAAAUUAAGACAUUGAAAUUACAGCCCCCACACCAGUGUGCAGUCAACCACAAAUUCAAAACAUGGUGUGGAAUGAUGGGAAGAGCAAUGUGAGAAUCACUUCAGCACAGAGUUUAGCCCCAUGUUUUUCAUGCAAUGAAAUCUGUAUUUUGCUUUAUACAAUGGACAAAACUUGCUGAGGGGUGAUUAUCUUCUGUUUUCUGUUUUGAGUCCAUUUACUCUGUGCAGAAUUUUUGUUUUAUUUCAAAAUAAGGUGCAUGUGAAGGAGUGGGUGUGAGUAUAUGUCUGCUGUUUCUCAGUAAACUACUGUUAUUUUUACUUUGCAUGUUGCAAAUAUCACAUAGAUGCCUGAAACUGUUUAAUCACAUAUCUUCUGAUCUGGUCACAGAAUCACGCAGCUCUUCAGUUACUUUCCUGCAUGGACUAGUUUUCUAGUCUCAGUUUAUAAUUGUAGAAUCAUAGAAUUGCUUGAGUUGGAAGGGACCCUUGAAGGCCAUCUAGAUGAACACCCCUGCAAUGAACAGGGACACCUACAGCUGGAUCAGGGUGCUUGGAGCCCCUCCAGCCCGACUAUCUCCAGGUGGCUUCCACCACCUCUCUGGCCUACCUGUUCCAGUGCCUCACCACUCUGAUUGUAAAAUAUUUUUUCCUUAUAUCCAGUCUAAACCUCUCCUCUUUUAAUUAGAAACCGCUUUCCCUUAUCCUAUCACAACAGACCUACUAAAGAAUCCAUCCACUUCUUUCUUAUAACCCACCUUUAAGUUACUGACAGGAAUAAUAAUUAGACUGUUUCCAGUAUCUGGACUGUAUGUUUAAGAGAUCAUCUGAGCUAGGUUAAAGUCCAUACUGGUGUAGACAUGCACUAAAUGGUAAAUGACUGAAUUACAUUACGCUAAUAUUAGCCAACAAAAGCAGUGAUAAAAGGAUUUGGCUAUAGGAACAAAAAAGACAGUGAUGUGAGUUUUGGAUACUGCAAAGGUUUCUGAGACACUGAAGAAAUGGCAGUCACGUCUACUAGCAGCAAUCUAAAUACAAAACUGUAGGAGUGAGAGGAGAGGAGAGGAGACAGUACAAAAGCUUCUGCUAUUAUUAGUCAUUGUGUAGAAGGUCUAGUGUUCAGAAUAGAGAAAACAAGGAAUUUGGGAUCUGACUUGUUAGACUGGAGUGCAUGGAAGAACUUGGAGCUGUGACAAUCUCUGAGGACACCCUGCCACAGAGUGUGCCUUACACUUUGCCCUUCCAAGGUCACAUUUAAAGCUGUAGUGGAUGCAUAUAUUUACCAGAAAGCCAAUGAGAUUUAAAGAUGGUCUAAAAACAUUUGAGCUGCCCUCAGCCCUGUGUCAGAAUAGCUGCUGUGCUCAGCACAUCACCAAGCAACUCAGAGGGGUACACAGGGCUUUUUAAUGCAUGACACUUUAACACAGUCCAAAGACUCUGUCAUGACACAUGCCAGCAGUGAUUCACUGCCUCUCAGGUGCCACGUGAUUAACCCGUCUCUCAUUUAUUCUCUCUAAUUAUUACUUAAAAAUAAUAAUAAUAAAAAAAUCUUCAUGUUCUCAUCUUUUUCCACAUAAAAAUGUCAACUUGUCAAAAGAGAGAGGAGCUGGAAAAAAUUCCUCUCCUUUUCACCUUGUCUGGCUUCUUUAAAACCAAGCUAUGCAAAGCUUUAGUGCAGCCUGACAAGACCUAACUGCUGAGAUUUCACAGGCACCGGGGGAAUGGAGGUGGGAGGGAAUGGGAGAAUUGAUCCUGUAAGGGCUCUGCCACAAGCUACUGCGUCUGCAGGGUCUCUCACAGACACCUCAGGGUUGAAGGAGGGCAGCUGAAAUGGAGCAGAGGGAAUCACAUUCAACAGGAAACACACUCCCCCCCUGGUGGCAGGACCAAACUAGUGGAAGGAAAUCUUCUGUCAGCACGUCAGAACAAAGGUGUUUCUCCUGGCAGCCCUUCACCUCCUGCAAGCUGAAUAUACCAGAAUGGUCAGUUUUAGGCUCUUUGGGAAGCCUUUCUUCUGUUUCCAUUUGAGCCAUAAAGCUUGAUUAAGAGUUCUGAGCUGGAAGAAGUGAUUACAGUGAUCAGGACUCUGGGAUCCCUUUUCAGACUGCCAGGAAGGAUGGGAGGCUUUGAGUACUCUGUCAUCCAGAGGAAUGCAUGGAAAAGGUUCAUAGGGAACCAUGGAAUUGCCUAUGCUUCUUCCAUUGGCUCCACAGUGAGCCUGCUCAUUUCCACAUACCCAAAGUCUAAGCAGUUGCGAUUAGCUGAGAGAAACUAGUUUACUUUUCAGGGGACUGAAUCUGUCAGCUCUGCAGUAUAUUCUUCAGUGCUAGUCCUGUAUUUCAUAUAGCCCUUGGUUAUCUGUGCUCAGGAAUAUGCUCAUCAUCUACGUUUACAUCAUAGGUGUGCAGAAAAGCAAGCCUAUGUGUGGGAAAGAGAGCCCUAACUCUUGUACUGAGCUACAGCUGAGUGUCUCCAUGCUCCUGGCACCUCCCAAGAAAGCACAGAAUGGAGGCAGGAGCUGAGACUGGCUGACCAGAAAAGUCUACAAGAAAGGGACUGGGACUUAGUGGGAGCAGUGGCUAAAGGAACCUUCUGGGAGAAAUUCCAAGGGUAAGGAGAGCAACUGAUACUUUGAGGAGGCAUAUAGAGCCAGGCAUACAGCAUCAUGAGGAUGGAAACAUAAAGCGGAGAACACCAGAGCCCGUUAACUCAAGCCUUGUGUGGUCUGUGCCCUCUUGCUCCCAUCUGCUGGGCCACUGUAUUCAGUGAAGAGAUUCUCACUCUUUUAGCUCAUAAACUGUGAGACACCCCACAGUGCAGGUUGUCUCAAUCCAGAGGAAGUGCAGUUACACAAUUACAGCGGGUGCAGCGUAGUCAUAAAAUUUUUGAAAGAAUGUUCUUUGGACAUAAUGGCAGCAUUUUGCCAAUAUUCUGUAACUCAAUAAACAAGCAGUAGAGCAUUGAUUCAUUGCUAGUGGAAAAAAGAAUCACAAUUCCCAAUAAUAACAUUUCUCAUUUCUUAUUUGACAAUAGCUGAUGGCAGCUUUUAUAGACCAACCUCUGCUGAGCACACAGCUGCAAGGAAAUGAACCCAUGCGUUAAUGUGCAACACUGUACUGCGUAGACUUAGCUGAGGAAUAAUUUGUACAAAUUGCUGAUGGAAACCAAAUCAAAAGAAAGAAGCCUGCUCUGAUUGCUGCUUGGGAGGGACAAAUCUAGAGGGGUAAGUGCACUUUGGACAGAGUCCACAAGGUGCCCUGAUUUUCCAGCUGAGCCUGGAUACAAACUCAAAUGUAAGCCCACCCUUUGCUCUUGGUAGUGAGUUCUCUCUUGCAUGUGUAAUGUGCAUGUGUAAUUUGCAUCUGAAUAAAUGUUCCUAACUGCAGGGAAGGAUUGAACAGUUUAGCGCUAGGUUAAGAAAGAAGAGGAAAAAUGAGUGAAAACACCGUAUGUAGGAAAUCAAGGGAACUUGUAUUCCUGGGGCCAAAAGAGGAUUUCUUAGAUUCUCCUCGACUCAGCAUUUCAGGUCAAAUCAUCACUUUGAUGAGAGCUACUUUUUGCCAGAGCUGCUCUUCGUGGUAAAAUGUUUUGCAGUUUGGUUUUUGAUCAGGAAUGUGUGAUGCUGUAGGCUAGUCAGGGCUUUUUAUGUAAGGCCAAAGUUUACAAUGAAGGGCUAAGUUGGUGUUAUACCUCAGUAUGUAUUUAAAUUCAGAUGAAAAGCAGUCUUGAUCACUUUAUACCUCUUGUCCCUCCAGGUGCUCACUGGGUCUUUUGACACAGUCUGAGAGGAGAUGCUUCACAACAUG